rnacentral:lncRNA from 1 species
CACUGGAGAGAGCUUGUCUUCCGAGCAUAGCCGUCUAUGAUUUGCUCGAUGAUGGUGUUUGCAUGGGGUCUACAACAUUUGAUGGGGCUCAUGUACCAUGCUAGGCUCAUUUAAUCACGACCAUCACACUGAUCAUGGACUCUUGUGCUUGGAAGAUGCAUGCGCUCUCUCCUGUUCAAGACAGGAUGGAGAGAAUCCCAAUCCAAUAAUUUUACCAGCUGGCCGAAACUUUUUGUGCCUAACCGCCAAUAAUUCUAUGAACCAAUUUUCAUUUGAUCAGCCAUGAACUACUGUAUGUUAUCAAGGUUGUUGAAAGAAAGAGCGAUUUACCUGUACGGUAGUUAUUCAAGUAUGGCACCAUUUAAGAGUCCAGCAUAAAAUCUUUGGUCGCUUCUUAAAAAGGCAA